GGCGGGGUAGCUCAGCUGGUAGAGCACGGGAAUCAUAAUCCCUUGGUCGAGGGUUCAAGUCCCCCUCCCGCCA
rfam:Candidatus Firestonebacteria bacterium RIFOXYA2_FTLL_40_8 rifoxya2_full_scaffold_1541, whole genome shotgun sequence.